rnacentral:rRNA from 1 species
AUUGUGAGCUCGAUGAGUAGGGCGGGACACGUGGUAUCCUGUCUGAAUAUGGGGGGACCAUCCUCCAAGGCUAAAUACUCCUGACUGACCGAUAGUGAACCAGUACCGUGAGGGAAAGGCGAAAAGAACCCCGGCGAGGGGAGUGAAAAAGAACCUGAAACCGUGUACGUACAAGCAGUGGGAGCCUCUUAAUGGGGUGACUGCGUACCUUUUGUAUAAUGGGUCAGCGACUUAUAUUCUGUAGCAAGGUUAACCGAAUAGGGGAGCCGAAGGGAAACCGAGUCUUAACUGGGCGUUAAGUUGCAGGGUAUAGACCCGAAACCCGGUGAUCUAGCCAUGGGCAGGUUGAAGGUUGGGUAACACUAACUGGAGGACCGAACCGACUAAUGUUGAAAAAUUAGCGGAUGACUUGUGGCUGGGGGUGAAAGGCCAAUCAAACCGGGAGAUAGCUGGUUCUCCCCGAAAGCUAUUUAGGUAGCGCCUCGUGAAUUCAUCUCCGGGGGUAGAGCACUGUUUCGGCAAGGGGGUCAUCCCGACUUACCAACCCGAUGCAAACUGCGAAUACCGGAGAAUGUUAUCACGGGAGACACACGGCGGGUGCUAACGUCCGUCGUGAAGAGGGAAACAACCCAGACCGCCAGCUAAGGUCCCAAAGUCAUGGUUAAGUGGGAAACGAUGUGGGAAGGCCCAGACAGCCAGGAUGUUGGCUUAGAAGCAGCCAUCAUUUAAAGAAAGCGUAAUAGCUCACUGGUCGAGUCGGCCUGCGCGGAAGAUGUAACGGGGCUAAACCAUGCACCGAAGCUGCGGCAGCGACACUAUGUGUUGUUGGGUAGGGGAGCGUUCUGUAAGCCUGUGAAGGUGGCCUGUGAGGGGUGCUGGAGGUAUCAGAAGUGCGAAUGCUGACAUAAGUAACGAUAAAGCGGGUGAAAAGCCCGCUCGCCGGAAGACCAAGGGUUCCUGUCCAACGUUAAUCGGGGCAGGGUGAGUCGACCCCUAAGGCGAGGCCGAAAGGCGUAGUCGAUGGGAAACAGGUUAAUAUUCCUGUACUUGGUGUUACUGCGAAGGGGGGACGGAGAAGGCUAUGUUGGCCGGGCGACGGUUGUCCCGGUUUAAGCGUGU